GGACCAAGGAGUCUAGCAUGUGCGCGAGUCAUUGGGACUAGCGAAACCUAAAGGCGUAAUGAAAGUGAAGGCUCGCCUCGCGCGUGCCGAGGGAGGAUGGGUCGUCUCACGAUACGGCCCCGCACUCCCGGGGCGUCUCGUUCUCAUUACGAGAAGAGGCGCACCCAGAGCGUACACGCUGGGACCCGAAAGAUGGUGAACUAUGCCUGGUCAGGACGAAGUCAGGGGAAACCCUGAUGGAGGUCCGUAGCGAUUCUGACGUGCAAAUCGAUCGUCGGAACUGGGUAUAGGGGCGAAAGACUAAUCGAACCAUCUAGUAGCUGGUUCCCUCCGAAGUUUCCCUCAGGAUAGCUGGCGCUCGCUUUGCGAGUCUCAUCCGGUAAAGCGAAUGAUUAGAGGCAUUGGGGUCGAAACGGCCUCAACCUAUUCUCAAACUUUAAAUGGGUGAGAUCUCCGGCUUGCUCGAACUUGAAGCCGCGAGAUUUCGGAUCAGAGUGCCAAGUGGGCCACUUUUGGUAAGCAGAACUGGCGCUGUGGGAUGAACCAAACGCCGAGUUAAAGCGCCUAAAUCGACGCUUAUGGGAUACCAUGAAAGGCGUU
rnacentral:rRNA from 1 species